rnacentral:rRNA from 1 species
CCUACGGGAGGCAGCAGUGGGGAAUAUUGGGCAAUGGGCGCAAGCCUGACCCAGCAACGCCGCGUGAAGGAAGAAGGCUUUCGGGUUGUAAACUUCUUUUCUCAGGGACGAAGCAAGUGACGGUACCUGAGGACUAAGCCACCGGUAACUACGUGCCAGCAGCCGCGGCAAUACGUAGGGGGCGAGCGUUAUCCGGAUUUACUGGGUGUAAAGGGCGUGUAGGCGGGACUGCAAGUCAGAUGUGAAAACCACGGGCUCAACCUGUGGCCUGCAUUUGAAACUGUAGUUCUUGAGUGGUGGAGAGGCAGGCGGAAUGCGUAGUGUAGCGGUGAAAUGCGUAGAUAUGAGGCGGAACACCGAUUGCGAAGGCAGUCUGCUGGACAGCAACUGACGCUGAGGCGCGAAAGCGUGGGUAGCAAACAGGAUUAGAUACCCCUGUAGUC